UACGGAGGGUGCGAGCGUUGUCCGGAAUCACUGGGCGUAAAGGGCGCGUAGGCGGCGCGGAUAGUCGGCGGUGAAAGCCCGGAGCUCAACUCCGGGUCGGCCGUCGAUACUUCCGGGCUUGAGCACUGUAGAGGCAGAUGGAAUUCCGGGUGUAGCGGUGGAAUGCGCAGAUAUCAGGAGGAACACCAGUGGCGAAGGCGGCACUCUGGGCCGGUACUGACGCUGAGGAGCGAAAGCGUGGGGAGCGAACAGG
rnacentral:rRNA from 1 species